ACCUCUUUCUGGUUCAUAAAUGUGAUGAUUGGGUUCUCAUGUGCUUGUAUGAUAUAUGCCUCCCUCAAACCUCAUUACCACAUGAACACAAUACCUGUCUGGUG
rfam:Dipodomys ordii contig_8046, whole genome shotgun sequence.